CAGUAGCCGCGGGAAUACGUAGGUCCCGAGCGUUGUCCGGAUUUAUUGGGCGUAAAGCGAGCGCAGGCGGUUUGAUAAGUCUGAAGUUAAAGGCUGUGGCUCAACCAUAGUUCGCUUUGGAAACUGUCAAACUUGAGUGCAGAAGGGGAGAGUGGAAUUCCAUGUGUAGCGGUGAAAUGCGUAGAUAUAUGGAGGAACACCGGUGGCGAAAGCGGCUCUCUGGUCUGUAACUGACGCUGAGGCUCGAAAGCGUGGGGAGCGUACAGGAUUAGAUACCCCCGUAGUCCCUGUCUCUUAUACA
rnacentral:rRNA from 1 species